rnacentral:sRNA from 1 species
ACGGACUUUAGCUACACCACAAAGCUUUGAGAAGCAAGAAGAAGCUUGGUUAGUGUUUUGGAGUCAAGUAUUACUAGAUGUCCUGUGUAU